CCUACGGGCGGCUGCAGUGGGGAAUCUUGCGCAAUGGGCGAAAGCCUGACGCAGCCAUGCCGCGUGAAUGAUGAAGGUCUUAGGAUUGUAAAAUUCUUUCACCGGGGACGAUAAUGACGGUACCCGGAGAAGAAGCCCCGGCUAACUUCGUGCCAGCAGCCGCGGUAAUACGAAGGGGGCUAGCGUUGCUCGGAAUUACUGGGCGUAAAGGGAGCGUAGGCGGAUAGUUUAGUCAGAGGUGAAAGCCCAGGGCUCAACCUUGGAAUUGCCUUUGAUACUGGCUAUCUUGAGUUUGGGAGAGGUGAGUGGAACUCCGAGUGUAGAGGUGAAAUUCGUAGAUAUUCGGAAGAACACCAGUGGCGAAGGCGACUCACUGGCCCAAUACUGACGCUGAGGCUCGAAAGCGUGGGGAGCAAACAGGAUUAGAUACCCGUGUAGUC
rnacentral:rRNA from 1 species